GACGAACGCUGGCGGCGUGCCUAAUACAUGCAAGUAGAACGCACAGUUUAUACCGUAGCUUGCUACACCAUAGACUGUGAGUUGCGAACGGGUGAGUAACGCGUAGGUAACCUGCCUGGUAGCGGGGGAUAACUAUUGGAAACGAUAGCUAAUACCGCAUAAUAUUAAUUAUUGCAUGAUAAUUAAUUGAAAGGUGCAAUUGCACCACUACCAGAUGGACCUGCGUUGUAUUAGCUAGUAGGUGAGGUAACGGCUCACCUAGGCGACGAUACAUAGCCGACCUGAGAGGGUGAUCGGCCACACUGGGACUGAGACACGGCCCAGACUCCUACGGGAGGCAGCAAUAGGGAAUCUUCGGCAAUGGACGAAAGUCUGACCGAGCAACGCCGCGGGAGUGAAGAAGGUUUUCGGAUCGUAAAGCUCUGUUGUAAGAGAAGAACGGGUGUGAGAGUGGAAAGUUCACACUGUGACGGUAUCUUACCAGAAAGGGACGGCUAACUACGUG
rnacentral:rRNA from 1 species